AGAGAGAGAGAGAGAGAGGAGGGAUUCCGUUCGGGUUAAGAAACCCUAGAUAGAAAGAUGGAGCGAGAGAGCGGCAUGGACGAGGGGAGGAUGGGGCUUCUCUCAGCCUCUUCUGCUUCUAUAUAAGGAAGGUCGAGGGGGAGAGGAGGCAAAGCAAAAAAAAGAAGAUCAGAUCUGAGCGGCUGACGAGCUGCUACUUUCACAGGCUCCAACCCCCUCCCCUUCCUUCCUUCCUCUCUCUCUCUCUCUCUCUCUCUCUCUCUCUCUCUCUCUCCAACCUGAGCCUUCUUUGACUGGUUUCUUGAAGCGGAAACCGUAAGAUUUGGGUGCAGAAAGGAGGGGGAUUGGGUCGGUGUCUAUUUUCUCCUUUUCUCUCUCCAAAAGCGUGGCGGCGGUGGGGAUGGUGGGUCGGGGGCUGACAGAAGAGAGUGAGCACACAGCGCGGCAAUUGCAUCGGGGAAUGCCGUUCCCGUUGCGUGCUCACUUCUCUUUCUGUCAGCUUCUUUCUCUGUGGAACAGAACCGUUGCCUACUUACUCCACCGCCUUUAAUUCUCUUGUUUUUAUUUCUUUCCUCGGUGACUGGCUAAAAAUAGAACGGGUGCAUUAACAUUCGAUGGGAAAGGGGUUCGUAUAUGUGUGUGAAAGAAGGACACGCGUGCAGGCUUUCCUCCCUUCUCCCUUCUCCCCUUCUCUUUCUAACGCAUCUGAUCUGAUAUUGUCGAUGAUGAUAACGCCUAGCUUGCUGUCCCUCCUUCUCUCUCACGCUCUCCAUCUGUCGCCUGGGCGACCUCGAGACGUCCUUCUCUGGCUCGCUUCUCUACGGAAGGCGGGACUUCCGGGAACCGGUGUAUGCUGGUACUAUCUGGUUUCUUUCUAUCCAGUUGUAUAUUUUUCCCCUUUUAAUUCGUCAUGUAGUAAUAUUGACAUGCCUAGGACGGAGGUUUUCUAUUGAUUCCAUGUAGAUUGGGUUGGAAAUUGGUGGAGGGAAUGGAUGAGAGGGGAAUGGGAUGAAGAAUUAGGCGUGGAGUGGAAAAGCGUGACUUUUGAGAUGUGGGCUGUUUGUUGGGAAACGGAUCGGAUUAGGACGAGCCCCCUCUGUCUGCGGCGCUGGCUUGACGGAAAGAUCAUUGUUUUGACCGGUCCUUCGGCUAUCCUUUCUCCUCCGUUUUCACCGCCUUCCUUCUCUCCCUACUCUUUUCUCUCUCUUCUUUUACUAUUUUUGGCAGGAUUCGUGAUCUUGGCCCCCAGAAUCUAGAGACAGAUCUCACCGCUGCUCGGCCGAAAUCAUCGUCGCCGGGUCGUACUGGGACUGGCACUUAAAGCAAAAUAAGAAGAGGACAUGAUUGGCUCCCAGAUCUGGGUUUCCAUAUAUGCUUGGUGGAUUAUUUCAGGUUCCUGUAAUAUUAAGAUUAUACCAGGAAGACAUACGAUGAUUCAGCCGCAGCUAACAACUGUCGAGGCUGCUUGUAUGUGGGAGAGUAAAGGAGGAGAAGAGAACAUAAAAAAAGCCUAUUCUUUACUGCUCUUUAUCUUAGUAAGGUAUCACUACAGAGAGUGUUUCCUGAAACAGUGGAUGCAACUACACUGGCUAUGUAUUGCCUGCCUCCAAGAGUGCAGCAUCGCUUUGAGGAAGGGCAGGCCGCUCCAUGGCACUAAACAAGGGUGCACCAAAAAGGGCAGUAAGCAGGAGAAAAAUCAUGGAACAGGCUCCAGAGACUGUUGAAGUUGGUCAUGACUGCAGUGACGGAUAAAUGAGAGAAAACUGGGUUAAUGAUGGAUAUGUGCAUGUAGAAGAAGAGCUGAAACGAUCUCCCAUUUGCUGAUUAGGUGCCUAUUUAUCCGUAGUUUAUAGACAACAAUAAAAGUGCAGCAAAAUCUAAGAGGAUGGCCUACCAACAAUAGUGAUCUAUGGAGCAAAUGGAGAAACAGAAAAUUCUAACAACUGAUGAGAAGAGCUGCAGAUCAAUUGAUUGCUACCAUCUGCUGGAAAAUAUGGAGGGAGCAAAAUGCUCAGAUUUUCUUAAAGAAAUUAAGUUCUAUAUCUUGUAUUUUGCAAAAAAAUCCUAUCAACCUUCUUCAGCUAGAAAUAUCUCUCUUCAGUGAAGCUACUAGAUCUUCAUCUCAAACUUUGGAAUAGCCUUGCAUUAUUGGCACAUGUUGGGAGACAUUAAUUUCUCUUAUUUAGAAAAAGGCAGGCUCACUUCAGGGUACAGAGCUUCCACAGUUGCACAUUGAAGAUACAGAGAUCCUUCAAACCGCUUAUCAGAUUGUUUAGUUUGUUGUUGAAUGGUUUAACGGAUCUACUUGACCACUAUCUUUUGUAAAAGACUAUUAUUUUUUUUAUGUUUUUUUCUCUUGCAAAUUCUUUGUAAAUAGUUUCUAUAAACUCUCUUGCUCUAA